CAGUAGCCGCGGUAAUACGGAGGGUGCAAGCGUUAAUCGGAAUUACUGGGCGUAAAGCGCACGCAGGCGGUCUGUCAAGUCGGAUGUGAAAUCCCCGGGCUCAACCUGGGAACUGCAUCCGAAACUGGCAGGCUAGAGUCUUGUAGAGGGGGGUAGAAUUCCAGGUGUAGCGGUGAAAUGCGUAGAGAUCUGGAGGAAUACCGGUGGCGAAGGCGGCCCCCUGGACAAAGACUGACGCUCAGGUGCGAAAGCGUGGGGAGCAAACAGGAUUAGAGACCCCAGUAGUCCCUGUCUCUUAUAC
rnacentral:rRNA from 1 species